ensembl:lncRNA
UUUUUUUCUUUUUUCUUAUUUACAGCAAAGUCCGAGAAAUAGAUACCUCCUUCCCCUCCCCCCACCACACACACAAUAGACCUUCCUUUACAUGCAAUCGCCCAAUUUCAAGUAACAAAUUCUUAGCAGCAGUUACCUUUGAGUGUCCAGUUUUUAAGGAUCGAUAAAAUUUUUAAAUGUACAGUAUUUAUUUUCUUCUUUCGGGUUGAUUAUGUGACCGCUCUGGCAAAAGCACUUUGACAACUGUAAGAAGAGAGGGCAUGCGCACACAGGGAACUGUGGGGGCUGAAGUCCUUCACAAGGUACUCUGCCCGACUAAAGCACGUUCAGCCAGGAAAGGAGGAAGCCUCGCGAAUACGACUCUAAGGGAAUUUAAAUGGAAGGGAAAAAUAAACUGGUUUGUCAACUUGAUUUAGGAAGCCAGGUUAAAAGAAAAACUGGAUCAUAGGACUCAAGAUAAAUAAAUCCAGCAGAGCCACCUUAAAUGGUAAUAGAAUGGUAAUAACUGGGUAGCCAGCAAUAGGAACUCUAACAUAGCGAAAGAGAUAGGAUGGAAAAAAAAAAGGGGGGGGGGUAGGGGUGCUGCUUAAAAUCUGAUAUUUUAAAUAAACAUGUUUAAUAUGAUAAAAUGAAAAGUACCUUAAUAUUAAACGUGAUAUUAACCUUGGAGGUCAGGUUAAAAAUAGGUUCAGUCACAAAUUUGACACCUAUCCACCAAUAUUUCUUUUUUUAAUUGAUUUUCUGUAUUUUUAUUGAAGUACAGCUGAUUUACCAUAUUUAUAUUAGUUUCAGGUGUACAACAUAAUGAUUCAAUUUUUUAUAGAUUAUAUUACAUUGAAAGUUAUUGCAAAAUAAUAGCUAUAAUUCUCGGUGCUAUACAAUAUAUUCUUGUAGCUUAUCUAUUUUACACAUGGUAGUUUGUAUCUCUUAAUCCCAUACCCCUAUCUUGCCCCUCCCCUCUUCCCACUGGUAUCCACUAGUUUUCUGCUUAUGUCUUACAUACACCAAGGUUUCUUUGUGUUUGAUUUUCUUUUUCUUGUCUGCGCCUGCAGCAUAUAGAAGUUCCCGGCCAGGGAUCUGGCAAUGCCAGAUGCUUAACCCACUGAGCUGAGGGGGUGGGGAGGGGGUAGGGAUCAAACCCAUACCACAAAGACAACGCUCGAUCCUUAACCCACUAUUCCACAGUGGGAACUCCCAUAUUUGAUUUUCAAUAAAGGCACAAAUUUCACUUAUUUCGAGAUUCUACUUGAUAUGCUCUAAAGCAACUCAUCUCCUUAUUUUACUCAUCAAAAUGAAAGUUUACCUUGUAUUAUUCAUACAAUGAUCAAUCAAAUAAAAUUCAACUCUUCUAAGCUAAAAUUGUACUUGGUAAAAUAUUAAAAAAUAAUUUGACGUGUUUAACAUUUCACUGCCUAGGGCAGUGACUUCUUCAUUCAAGAUAGAAAGUUGAUAGUUUCUAUACAAACAUUUUUUUUUCAGUGUACAUUUUUACUAUCUUAACCUCCUGACUCCAAGGCUGGAAUCUCACAACAUCUUAACAUCAACUGGUAUCUAUAACUUCUGAGAGCAAUAGUUCAAUUACCAGCUUGCUCACAUAAGCAAAAGAUAGUGUUUCUUUGGGAGUUUGGUUCAAUGCCAUUUAGUCCAAGGGGUUCAGAGUAAAUGUCAGUUGAUGAUUAUGCUGGUUGAACUUGCAACUAAAAAUGUUAAGCAUCAUUUAAAACUGUCUUAAUUUUCUAUUUCCCCUCUUCACCAAUUAGAACUAAAGUAGUACUACCAGAGACUACAAUUUGCAGCAGUCUUUGUUUCUAGUUACUUCUAAGGAAAAAACCAAAACUAACAAUUGAAGAGGAAAAAAUCACUUAGAAUCAAUCUGUCAAAAGCUCUUUUUUUUUUUUUCUUUUUCUUUUCUUUUUUUCUUCUUUUUUACAGCUGCGCCUGCAGCAUAUGAAAGUGCCUAGGCUAGGGGUCAAAUCAGAACUGCAGCUGAGGCCUACAACCACAGCCAUAGCAACACAGGAUCCAAGCCAUAUCUGCAACCUAUGCUGAGGCAAUACCAGCUCCUUUACCCCCCAAUCAAGGCCAGGGAUUGAACUUACAUCUUCACAGAGACAAUAUCAGGGCCUUAACCCACUAAGCCACAAUGAGGAUGCCCCAAAAUCUCUUUUUAAAAAACUAAAUGGGGGAGUUCCCGUCGUGGCGCAGUGGUUAACGAAUCUGACUAGGAACCAUGAGGUUGCGGGUUCGGUCCCUGCCCUUGCUCGGUGGGUUAACGAUCCGGCGUUGCCGUGAGCUGUGGUGUAGGUUGCAGACGCGGCUCGGAUCCCGCAUUGCUGAAGCUCUGGCAUAGGCCGGUGGCUACAGCUCCGAUUGGACCCCUAGCCUGGGAACCUCCAUAUGCCGCGGGAGCGGCCCAAGAAAUAGCAACAACAACAACAACAACAAAAAAAGACAAAAGACAAAAAAAACAAAAAAAACUAAAUGGUCUUAUUCCUGUGUGAACUUAGCAUAUAUUACCCUUUUUUUUUUUUUUUUUCUCCUCUACUUUCCUAAAGAAUGCUUUACUCCUGCCAAAGUGCUAUACUCACCAUAUUCAUUCUAGAGUCUGUAAGGAUCAACUCAAGGUUAAUCUUAUUCCUGAAGACUUCCCUAGCCUACCAAACUUCUACAUUUUAAAGUACUUCAAUUAAGUUAAAAAAAAAAAA